CUGAAUCUUCGAAAAAUCGACCGUGUGAAAGGAUCAACACCCACUGUAUCCGGGAUCACCUGGAUCUACACACGAAGCGCAGGGUGUAGUAUGAGUACAACCAACUCAGUAAGUAACAAUAAUAAAUAAGGAACUGAAGAUAGUGACGAGCUAUACAAUUUCUAAUUCAUUUUUAGUAAUUCCAGCAAAGAAUUGACAUGCUUUCAAAUCCGACAGUUUAAGUCAAAUCAAUUUAUGAAUUCGUACUUUAAAAUUUAUUUGAAAUGACUUCAGUCAACUUAUUGAGAAAAUAGACCCGAAUCCGUUUUUUGACGGUCCUGGUGGAUUCGUAUCAUGAUUUUGGGACUUGGGCGUAUGUCCGGAUUCGAAUUCGGAGGUCCCUAACUCGAGUUAUCGCAAUUUGUUGAAAAUUUAAAGUUUAAAAGUUUAAAGAAUUUAUAAAUUUGACCAAAGUUUGACUUAGUUGUUACCGGGUCCGGAUCUCUAUUUCAGAGCUUGGUAUGACUUUAUUACUGUAAUUACUACUUGCCUACAAAUUUUGGUGAAAAACGAAGUUGAUUUGAUGUGAUUCGGACGUCCGGUUGUUAAAAUGGAAGUUCUUAAGUUUUAUUGAAAAUUUCAUUUGUUUUGGUAUCUGAUUCGUAGUUUUAGGUGUUAUUUUGGUUUUUUGAUCACGCGAGCGAGUUCGUAUGAUAUUUUGGACUUGUGUGCAUACUUGGUUUGGAGCCCCGAGGGCUCGGGUGAGUUUCAGAUAGACUACAGAGUGAUUUCGGACUUGGUAGAAUAGUUGAUGCCUCUUUUGUUGCUGGUGUUCUGGUGCAGGUCUCGCAUUUGUGAGAUCUAGCUCGCAUUUGCGAGCAUGGGCAGGCUUGAGGAUCCUUGCAUUUGCGAGGUAAAAGUCCGCAUUUGCGAACUUGCCAUUUCCGCUUUUGUGAAGGCGGAGUCACAUUUGUGACUCAACACGGUCCUUGGCAAUCUUCGCAUUUGUGAAGAGGUGGUCCGCAUUUGUGAGAGCUGGGGGUUUGCAUUUGCGACCAAAAACAUCGCACUUGCAUUGACUGGGUUUUUGAGAGGAGUUCGCAUUUGCGACCUCUUUCGCGCAAUUGCGAUGUUCGCAAUUGCGAAUAAAAUAUCGCAAUUGCGAACAAAAUAUCGCAAUUGCGACAUCCGCAGCUGGGUAAAAACUAAGAUAGACGGGAUUUUACUCAUUCUUUCAAAUUCUCAACCCUAAAAACCUUAGAGGCGAUUUUCCCAAGAGCCUUUCUUUCUUAAUUCAUUGGUAAGUGACCUUAAUCUACUUUCUUUCAUUUACCCAUUAUAUUUUAUAAGUUUUCAUCAUUUAAGCCUAGGAUCUUUCAUGGUGGAAAUUGGAGAUUUGGGUAGAAUUAGAAAUUUUUGCAAAAUUAAAAUUUAGACCUCGAAUUGAGGUCGGAUUUCGAAACAAAUUACAUAACCGGACUCAGGGGUGAAUGGGUAAUCGGGUUUUGGUCCGAAUUUCAGAUUUUGACCAAGCGGGUCCGGGGUUGACUUUUGUUGCCUUUUUUAAUAAUAACCUAAAUUGAACCUCUUUCAUUCGUGGGUAGUUUCGGAGGCUUAUUUUGAAUCGUUUGGUUAAUAAUUUGCUAGAUUGAUUUUAUUUUAGACAUAGGGUCUCCCCUCCCUAGUCGCUUUUCUAACAUAGGGUCUCCACUCCAUAUUUAAUUUUAUUUUAGACAUAGGAUCUCCACUCCCUAGUAGCUUUUCCAACAAAGGGUCUCCAUUUCCUAGUUGAUUUUAUUUUAGAGAUAGGGUCUCCACUCCCAAGUCACUUUUCCAACAUAGGGUCUCCACUCCCUAGUUGAUUUUAUUUUUAGACAUAUGGUCUCCUCUCCCUAUUAUCUUUUCCAACAUAUGGCCUUCACUACCUAGUUGAUUUUAUUUUAGACAUAGGGUCUCCACUCCCUGCUUGACAAUCAACCCAAAGAUAAUUUUUACCGCAUUUAAAACACGUAGCACACCGCUGAUAAUAUUCCGUUGCUAACUCUUCAACUGUUUCCUUAGGCUGGUUGUACUUCAUCUUCACAUCAUUUAGAGUUCAAUAACAAGAACAUGCUCUUCAGGAUUUCUUCAACAAAAGAAAUCUUGAAGAGAAGUUAACAUAACAAAACUAAAAAUAAAAAAAAACAUAAAAAUUAAAAGCUAAUUCCUGGAUUAGCACUACAAACUAUUUCAAACACUAUUGAGUGCCAAUCCCCGACAACGGUGCCAAAAUUUGAUGAGCGCAAAACACACACUUAAAUUGUGCUCGCUAGUCAAAGAUAGUAUAGUAUAAUAUCGUGUCCACAGGGAUUGAAUUUAAACAGUAUUCUCGUAGUUUGUAGCUAGAUUGCUAUCUAGGAGGAUCAACAGUUGAGAUUUAUAUGACUAAGAAUCUAAAAUCUACAGCUAUUGACUAGUGACUAUCGAAAUAAGUAAUAAGCAAUUAAGGUUAUCGGUGGGAGAGGAUAGGGUUUUGACAGAAUAAGUGCAAGAUAAUUGUUCGAGAUCUAACUCUAAAAUUGAAUUUCGGGCCCGAUAUCAAAAAGUCAAUUCCAUGGUCAAACUUGGAAAUCUUUAGCCUUUAAAUUUCUAGUUUCCAUUAAAUGGACAUAACUUGAGCUAGUGAGUUCCAAAUUAAAUUUCGGGCAUACGCCCAAGUCUCAAAUCACGAGACGGACCUACCGAAACUGUCAAAACAUUGAUCCGGGUCCGUUUGUUCAAAAUAUUGACCAAAGUCAACUCAGUUGAGUUUUAAGGCUCUAUUUCACAUUUUAAUCAAUUUUUCAUAUAAAAACUUCUCGGAAAAUUAUACGGGCUGCACACGCAAGCCGAGAAAUGAUAAAUAGUGCUUUUUGAGGUCUUAGAAUACAGAAUUAAUUAUUAAAUUUAAAUAUGACCUUUUGGGUCAUCACAAUUAUUAGUUCAAAUGUUCAGCAAAAACUUUUCUUUCGAUUAAGUCUCAACUUCUCAAUAUGAACCAAUUUAAUCUCUGUGAAGAUAUGCAAGAAUCCAUAAUGGAUUGGUCUUUAGGAUAGCCUCUCUCGAUUAUUCUCCUAACUAGGUUUAAUCAAUAAUUCAACUAGCCUCUUUCAAUUACUUAGAAGAAUCUAUGAACUCAACCAACAAUAUAAUGCAAAGAUAUCACAAGUUAUGCCUCUUUCAAUUACAAAAACAAGUGAAUAUAGAUGCAAUAAUUAAAUCUUCCAAAAAUGAUUCAAAUACAUAAAAAUAGAAUUAUAAUCUACAAACAAUCAUCAAUACACCAAAUCCAUCAAAACCCAAAAGGAACUACUCCAUAGACAUGGAGAAGUUCUUCACAAAUAUAACUAAAGUAUAGAAAAACAUAAAUUCAAUCCAAACCCGAAUCUUGAGUGAGGAAGGAAUGAUGAAAUCCUUAUGCUUGUGUUCUUCCCAAACCUCCUUUGCCUCCUUAGGUCGAAAAUCUGUCAAAAGUCCCCGAAAAUGGUAUUUUUCCGUGUAUUUAAGCCAUCCCUCAAUAAACCCCGGACAAAAUUAUCUUUUUUUAGCGGAAAUGGAAAGUUACUCUAAUAUUUUUGUGCUAUCUCGGCAUAAAUUGCAUUGUCGUGCCGCCCCAUGCAGCGCGGCUGUGCAGUUUCUUCGAGUAAGUUCGUUUCUCCAAUAUUUGACAUUCGGACUUCGUCCUCGACCCCCGAACGCGACCCCGAUUUAAUCACUUGGGCUUCUACUUAGACUUCAAUGCUCCAAAUAGCUCGAAUUAGCUCUACAACAUCUAAAUAACUUGGAAUCACUCCUACACGACAUAAAACACAUAAUAAGUGCAAAACACUACUAAUUAAAGUUCAACAUAAGUAAAGUGCAGUGAAUUAGAAUGCAAUGAGCGACUAAAGUGCAAUGAGCGACUAAAACACAGGGUUAUAAGCCUACCAUCAAGUAGUUGAAAUCAGAAAGCACAAAAUGGGGAUAUUAGUGUUGCUCACCAUUGUUGACUGAGAGAAGCAAAGCUUGAUCGUAAAGAUUGGUAAAACCUGGAAAGAGGAAAUCAAUGUGAACAUUUGACAGUAAGAAAUUUUGAUUAAACAAAUGAAUGUUUUAGUAGUUGCAAUGGGGCUUAACGUUACAGUCAAACAUUAAGAUUAAAUAUGUUUAUAAACCAGUAAAUUAACCCAGUCAUUCGAGUCAAAUUUUAAAGGUAAUGCAUGUAAUAGUUGUAAUCGUUAAAGACAAAUCACAAAACUAAAAUUCUCUAUAAUUGUAGGGAAAACAUAUUUAUUUUGAUUCUCGUCAAAGAAGUAAGGAACCAAAUUUGCAUUUCAGGACAAAUAUUUACUACUAUAAUUUAUUUGAGAACUUAGAUAGGACAAUUUACUUUUUUACAUCUAUAAAGUGGAGGUAAUAAUGUGGAAACAAAAAUAUACCAAGAGUUAAGGAAAACACAAACUGAUCCAAAGAGAAAUUCAACCUUGACGAAGAUGUCAUCUCUGCUCUGCUGCAUAAACUGCACCAAGGCAAGUAAACUGUGUAUAAAUCACCAGAUCGAAUAAAAAUAAAAACAAAAAGUUGUAAUUCAAAAGUGAUAUGUUUUUUCUUGUGGGUUUAUUUAAAAUCUUGUAGACGGGGAAAUUUCCAAAAAAAGAAGAAAAGAGAUAAAUAGUGCAUCCGUGAGCAUGGGGAAUGUUCCACAUCAGAUUUUAUUUUUUAGCUUUAUAAAUAUUUGUAUAUAAAUUAUUGACAAACUUUAAUUAAGCUCCACACACAUGCAAAGAUAAUGUGAACAUUACUGACUUUCCUUGUAUACCAAAAUUUCAUAGUCAACAACUAAAAUUCAAGGGAGGAAGAUAUUAUGUUUCCCGUAAGCAUCCAUGAUAAUUUGGUGAAAGCUCUACUUUCAUAAUCUCAAAUGACCGCAAUUGUCAUUAGGGAAUAAAAUGCCUCACCUGAAGGAUAACUCGAGAAGACGAAUACACUAACCUCGUGGCAAUUAAACAAUUUGUGUCGUGUUGUAUUGGUAGUACUCAAUUAUAAGGGAGAACCAUACAACUAAGCACAUUACCGGUCUAAACUCCAUAUUAGUAAAUUAUAAUCAAUAUUUAUAGACAUAAAAAUAAAUUCAAUGGUCAUCAGUCAUCACUAUUAAAUAAAAAAAUCUUUCCCAACUGUUAAUAAUGACUGAUUGCACUUAACUCCGCCUAUGUCGCCUCAUAUGUGCAUUUUUGUGAGCAUCUUCUUCUCUGGCUUUGUACUUUUCUUUUUCUCUUUUAUUUCUAGCACUAUUUCUGUGGUGUGGAUUUAGUAUUUUAACUACCUUGGCUCAUCUCUUCAUCGCUGCUACAACUGUUGGUGAGUCUUAAUCUUCAUUUUUUUUUUCAAUUUGGUAUUUACAUGGGUGUGGAUUGUAGGGUAGUUAGUUUUCUUCCUCCUUAAUUUUCUUCACCCAUCAAUAGAUUAUAUACACAUAAAUGAUAAAUCUUUAUCAAGUUGAGUUAAGAAGGCAUAAGAAAAUUGCUACUGAUUAGGGAUAAAUAACGACCAAUUUACAGUAGAGCAAUUAAGCAAUCAUUUAUGCCACAUAAAGUUGUGUUGUGAUUAUCUAUAUUACUUAACAUAUCAGAUAUUCUAGCCUUAAUAUUCAUUUGGAAAUGUUAUUGGUUCUCUUCAAAAUAAAAAAAUUCUCUUAGAUAUAAAACAUUCUACAUGGAUUUAGGUUUAAAUUUCUUAUAAAAUUUUAGAAGUUUCUUACUGCAAAUUUUCUUACAGAUUUCAAGUUAGUUCAAGUGCAUGUUCUUGAGAGGAAAAAACAUAAUAGAAUCUUUAUACUCUUGGUUAUCAAUUGUGCAGAAAACAUAAUAGUUAAGGAUCUUCGGGGCUCACCUCAAAUACAGAUGGAGAAGGUCAAAUUGAAUCUGUUCACGGCCUUUUGUUCGUUUGUACUACCAUCUAUCAACCUAAAAGAAAAAUAAAUCAUGCGCUCAACUGAAUUAUGAAACUUCAAGGGUCUAACAUUUAAAAUGCUGAAAAGAUAUGCAAAGAAGACAUAGUUGGUAAAGAUUAACUUUGAAAGGAUUAUAGACAUGCAAGUGUGAAUAAAUUUGCAGCAUUUCCUGAAUCCGUGGGUAAAGUCAACAAUGCGGCAUAUUUUUGAAUACUUCAUGGGCGUCAACAUAAGCAGUUGUUAUCCAAUUUUUCUGCGAUGGCGAAGGAGUAAGUUAAAGACGGAGCAGAAUCAAAAAUCAAAGCGCAAAUAACUAGAAAACGCAAAUUGGAAACUGUGAUGGGGAAAGAAUUUAGAGAUUAGCUAAGGAAUUAAAGUAAAUCAACAAAGAUGAAGCAAAAUCUGUGUAGAAGAGCAAACAGGGAGGAGAAAGAGUAUAGGGAUUUUCAACAAUGGUAAUGUGAUGAUCCGAUAGAUCAUCUAGAGUUUUAACCUUUAAUUUUGUAUUUUGAAAUCUUAAAUAGCUCCUUUUCGUCUUCUCCGAUUUGCGUGCGCAUUC
rnacentral:lncRNA from 1 species